rnacentral:sRNA from 1 species
CCUGGUGUGGUGGCACAUGCCUGUAAUCCCAGCAUCUGGGGAGGGUGAGGCAGGAGGAUCACAAUUUCAAGGCCAAGUGAGACCCUGUCUCAA